rnacentral:rRNA from 1 species
UACGUAGGGUGCAAGCGUUAAUCGGAAUUACUGGGUGUAAAGCGUGCGCAGGCGGUUCUGUAAGACAGAUGUGAAAUGCCCGGGCUUAACCUGGGAACUGCAUUUGUGACUGCAAAGCUAGAGUGUGUCAGAGGGGGGUAGAAUUCCACGUGUAGCAGUGAAAUGCGUAGAUAUGUGGAGGAAUACCGAUGGCGAAGGCAGCCCCCUGGGAUAACACUGACGCUCAUGCACGAAAGCGUGGGGAGCAAACAGG